UGAAGGGCGUGCUAAUCUGCGAUAAGCGCCGGUAAGGUGAUAUGAACCGUUAUAACCGGCGAUACCCGAAUGGGGAAACCCAGUGUGACUCGUCACACUAUCAUUAACUGAAUCCAUAGGUUAAUGAGGCGAACCGGGGGAACUGAAACAUCUAAGUACCCCGAGGAAAAGAAAUCAACCGAGAUUCCCCCAGUAGCGGCGAGCGAACGGGGAGGAGCCCAGAGCCUGAAUCAGCAUGUGUGUUAGUGGAAGCGUCUGGAAAGGCGCGCGAUACAGGGUGACAGCCCCGUACACAAAAGCGCAUGUGCUGUGAGCUCGAUGAGUAGGGCGGGACACGUGGUAUCCUGUCUGAAUAUGGGGGGACCAUCCUCCAAGGCUAAAUACUCCUGACUGACCGAUAGUGAACCAGUACCGUGAGGGAAAGGCGAAAAGAACCCCGGCGAGGGGAGUGAAAAAGAACCUGAAACCGUGUACGUACAAGCAGUGGGAGCACCCUUUGGGUGUGACUGCGUACCUUUUGUAUAAUGGGUCAGCGACUUAUAUUCUGUAGCAAGGUUAACCGAAUAGGGGAGC
rnacentral:rRNA from 1 species